GCGUUGGUGGUGCAACGGUUUAGCACAUGUUCCCGGAAAGAGCAGGAUCUGGGUAAUCCCGGCUGACGCA